UUGCAGCCCGACUUGAACGGAGCACUUUUUCUGAAAAAAUGGAUGGGAAAUGCGCUGGUUUUUUCAGAAAAAAGCGGGAGUGGAAGGCGGAUAAAGC
rnacentral:misc_RNA from 1 species